UACAGAGGUCUCAAGCGUUGUUCGGAUUCAUUGGGCGUAAAGGAUGCGUAGGUGGCGCCAUAAGUCAGGUGUGAAAUCUCGGAGCUCAACUCCGAAACUGCACUUGAUACUGUGGUGCUCGAGUACUGGAGAGGAGAUUGGAAUUUACGGUGUAGCAGUGAAAUGCGUAGAUAUCGUAAGGAAGACCAGUGGCGAAGGCGAAUCUCUGGACAGUUACUGACACUGAGGCACGAAGGCCAGGGGAGCAAACGGG
rnacentral:rRNA from 1 species